rnacentral:rRNA from 1 species
UCCGGGGGGGGCGAUCGUUAUUCGGAAUUACUGGGCGUAAAGGGCGCGUAGGCGGGUGGACAAGUCUGUCGUGAAAGCCCACGGCUCAACCGUGGAAUUGCGGGAGAUACCGUAUGUCUUGAGUCCGGGAGAGGAGGGUGGAAUUCCCAGUGUAGCGGUGAAAUGCGUAGAUAUUGGGAGGAACACCGGUGGCGAAGGCGGCUCUCUGGACCGGUACUGACGCUGAGGCGCGAAAGCUAGGGGAGAAAACGGG